ensembl:lncRNA
UGUCUGCAACCUACACCACAGCUCAUGGCAACGCCAGAUCCUUAACCCACUGAGCAAGGCCAGGAAUCGAACCCGCAACCUCAUGGUUCCUAGUUGGAUUCGUUAACCACUGCGCCACGGCAGGAACUCCUCUUUCUUUUUCUGAUGGACUUCACUCAGUAGGAGUCUCUAGUUCCAUGUUGCUGCAAAUGGCAUUGUUUCAUUCUUUAUGGCUGAGUAGUAUUCCAUUGUGUACAUAUACCAUGUCGUCUUAAUCCAGUCAUCUGUCAAUGGACAUUUGGGUUGUUUCCAUGUCUUGGCUAUUGUGAAUAGUGUGGCAGUGACACAUGCGGGUGCGUGUGUCUUUUUUAAGGAAAGUUUUGUCUAGAUAUAUGCCCAAGAGUGAGACUGCUGGGUCAUAUAGUAGUUCUAUGUAUAGAUUUCUAAGGUGCCUCCACUGUUCUCCAUAGUGGUUGUACCAGCUUAUAUUCCCAACAGUGCAGGAGGGUUCCCUUUAGGAGACAAAGUUUAAAACAGACUUCUAGGGAGGCUGAGACCAGGACAAUGAAAACACCCCACUGUUGGAUUCCAUCCUUCCUGAUGCCCUAAGAACUGUCACCAAGGCAACAGGAAGCACAGAGAGCCGGUGCCUGUCAUUGAUUUGUUUAAAUUCAUGAACGUGGAAACUGAUCAACACAACAGAAUCCAGAGCCCAGAAAUAAACUCCUGCAUUUACAGUCGACUCAUGUUUGACAAGGGAGCCAGGAAUAGUCAGUGGAGGAAUGACAACCUCAGCCAUAAAUGGUGCUGGGGAAACUGGAUAUUCACAACAAAAUCAGGAGUUCCUGUUGUGGCUCAGCAGGCCAAGAACCAGACGUUGUCUCUGUGAGGUCAUGGGUUCAAUUCCUGGCCUCGCUUAGUGGCUUAAGGAUCCAGCCUCGCUGUGGUGUAGGUCACAGACGUGGCUCAGAUUCCUGCCAUUGCUGUGGUUGUGGUGUAGGCCGGCAGCUGCAGCUCUGAUUCAACCCCUAGCCUGGGGAGCGACAUAUGCUGCGGGUUCAGCCCUAAAAAGACAAAUAACGAGUGUCAGUAUGUGGAGAAAGGGGGACCCUUGUGUGCUGUUGGUAGGAGAGCAAAGUGGGUAUUUUCCCAAGAAAAGUCAUUCCAGAUUUAUACGCUGACCUGUACCCCCCAUUCACAAGCAGCAUUAUUCACGACAGCUAAGACAUGGAAGCGACUUAGUGUCCAUGGGUGGAUGAAUAGAUAAGGAAGGUGGGGGUAUGUAUGUUUAUUAUAGACAGUAGAAUAGGACUCGGCCACAGAAAGAAAUCCUGUCAUCUGUUAACAACUUGGCUAUACCUUGAGGGCAUUAUACUCAUAGAGACAAACACUGUAUGAUCUCGCUCAUUUGCGGGAUCCAAGAAAACCCAAACUCAGAGAAAGAGAUGGGAUUUGUGGUUACCAGAGGCAGGAGGUGGGGAGUGAGUGAACUGGAUGAAGGUACAAAGUUCCAGUUGUAAGAUAACCAAGUUCUUGGAAUGUAAGGCACAGCUUGGUGACCGAAAUUAACAUCACUAAGUUGUUUACGGGGAAGUUGCUAAGGGAGUAGAUCCUGAAACUUCUCAUCAGAAGGAAGAAAUUUGUAACCGUAUGUGACAUGGUCCACCUUAACCUUAGACAUUGCUAAUGUCAGAACCACCUUGCUACACCGGGUUGGUGACUGGGUGUGUGUUCUCUGUGGCCUGCCUACCUGGCCAGGACGUCUAAACACAGAUCUCCUUGCACCUCUAGAGCACCCCAUGCCCCCAGGCCCCCCACCCAAGCUCCCUGUACAAAAGGUCCAUGCCCACCUCUGUCCUCACCAGGUCCUGAGAGCCUGCCCCGGUGUGUGCCCAGGAAAAAAAAGAGGUGAGCAGUUCAGCAAGUAAACUGAACAUUUUAAAAUGAGUGGCCCUGGAGGGCAAUUCACUAAAUGUGAAUUAUAAUAAAGGAUAAAAGAUUUUUUGAGCAACGGACAAGAUGUAGUCUGGAAAUAAAAUUGUAAAUUGUUUACUAACUGAAAAAUUUAAACGUUGCCAAACAAAAUCACAAAACAGCAGGACACAAUUUGAAAGGGCAAGAGCAUAUGAGGAUCAAAGGUGAACAGUCUGCUAGCUACAGAGCAACAACUGGCAUCACAAGCAAAAGUCAUGCAUCUCGAGGGAGGAGGCAUCCAGAGGAGAGAAAGGGAGGGAACGGGGCUGGGAGAGGCCUGGGUGAGUCCAGUUCUGGGAAGAGCUGAGGUUGCUGUGGGUCUUCCACAGGCUGCAGGUGCAGCCAAAAAAGUUUUUAUUUUUAUAACAAAAGGGGGCAUCUGAAGGAGAGGGGUGUGGCCAGGA